rnacentral:rRNA from 1 species
AGCGAACGCUGGCGGCAGGCCUAACACAUGCAAGUCGAACGAAGUCUUCGGACUUAGUGGCGGACGGGUGAGUAACACGUGGGAACGUGCCUUUAGGUUCGGAAUAACUCAGGGAAACUUGUGCUAAUACCGAAUGUGCCCUUCGGGGGAAAGAUUUAUCGCCUUUAGAGCGGCCCGCGUCUGAUUAGCUAGUUGGUGAGGUAAAGGCUCACCAAGGCGACGAUCAGUAGCUGGUCUGAGAGGAUGAUCAGCCACAUUGGGACUGAGACACGGCCCAAACUCCUACGGGAGGCAGCAGUGGGGAAUUUUGCGCAAUGGGCGAAAGCCUGACGCAGCCAUGCCGCGUGAAUGAUGAAGGUCUUAGGAUUGUAAAAUUCUUUCACCGGGGACAAUAAUGACUGUAGCCGGAGAAGAAGCCCCGGCUAACUUCGUGCCUGCCGCCGCAGUAACAC